rnacentral:tRNA from 1 species
GAAAUAAAAAAUUUAAAGCUUCUAACUUUAAUAACAAGCGAGCACUCGUUUAUAUUUCU